rnacentral:rRNA from 1 species
GAUGAACGCUGGCGGCGUGCCUAAUACAUGCAAGUAGAACGCUGAAGCUUGGUGCUUGCACCGAGCGGUUGAGUUGCGAACGGGUGAGUAACGCGUAGGUAACCUGCCUCUUAGCGGGGGAUAACUAUUGGAAACGAUAGCUAAUACCGCAUAAAAGUCGAUAUCGCAUGAUAUUGAUUUGAAAGGUGCAAAUGCAUCACUAAGAGAUGGACCUGCGUUGUAUUAGCUAGUUGGUGAGGUAACGGCUCACCAAGGCGACGAUACAUAGCCGACCUGAGAGGGUGAUCGGCCACACUGGGACUGAGACACGGCCCAGACUCCUACGGGAGGCAGCAGUAGGGAAUCUUCGGCAAUGGGGGCAACCCUGACCGAGCAACGCCGCGUGAGUGAAGAAGGUUUUCGGAUCGUAAAGCUCUGUUGUAAGAGAAGAACGAGUGUGAGAGUGGAAAGUUCACACUGUGACGGUAACUUACCAGAAAGGGACGGCUAACUACGUG